rnacentral:rRNA from 1 species
UACGUAGGGUCCGAGCGUUGUCCGGAAUUAUUGGGCGUAAAGAGCUCGUAGGCGGUUUGUCGCGUCUGCUGUGAAAUCCCGAGGCUCAACCUCGGGUCUGCAGUGGGUACGGGCAGACUGGAGUGCGGUAGGGGAGAAUGGAAUUCCUGGUGUAGCGGUGGAAUGCGCAGAUAUCAGGAGGAACACCGGUGGUGUAGACGGGUCUCUGGGCCGAUAUCGACGCUGAGGAGCGAAAGCGUGGGGAGCGAACAGG